rnacentral:snRNA from 1 species
GUGCUCGCUUUGGCAGCACAUAUACUAAAAUUGAAACGAUACAGAGAAGAUUAGCAUGGCCCCUGCGCAAGGAUGACACGCAAAUUUGUGAAGCGUUCCAUAUUUAA